rnacentral:pre_miRNA from 1 species
AGAUCAUGUCCAUUACUUUUUCAUUCAUUAAUUUCUAAUUAUAUAAGCAUUAACAUUCAAAUGUGUAAUAUUGAAUAGUAAUGGAUACAAAAGUAAUGGAGGGGAACC